AUUGAACGCUGGCGGAAUGCUUUACACAUGCAAGUCGAACGGCAGCACGGACUUCGGUCUGGUGGCGAGUGGCGCACGGGUGAGUAAUGUAUCGGAACGUGCCCAGUCGUGGGGGAUAACGUAGUGAAAAUUACGCUAAUACCGCAUACGAUCUAUGGAUGAAAGCGGGGUAUCGCAAGACCUCGCGCGAUUGGAGCGGCCGAUAUCAGAUUAGGUAGUUGGUGGGGUAAAGGCCCACCAAGCCAACGAUCUGUAGCUGGUCUGAGAGGACGACCAGCCACACUGGAACUGAGACACGGUCCAGACUCCUACGGGAGGCAGCAGUGGGGAAUUUUGGACAAUGGGCGAAAGCCUGAUCCAGCCAUUCCGCGUGCAGGAUGAAGGCCCUCGGGUUGUAAACUGCUUUUGUACAGAACGAAAAGGUUUCUACUAAUACUAGGAGCUCAUGACGGUACUGUAAGAAUAAGCACCGGCUAACUACGUGCCAGCAGCCGCGGUAA
rnacentral:rRNA from 1 species